UACAGAGGUCCCGAGCGUUGUUCGGAUUCACUGGGCGUAAAGGGCGCGUAGGUGGCCCGGUCAGUCUUUGGUGAAAGCGCGGGGCUCAACCCUGCGUCGGCCAGGGAUACUGCCGCGGCUCGAGCACUGUAGAGGCAGGCGGAAUUCCGGGUGUAGCGGUGGAAUGCGUAGAGAUCCGGAAGAACACCAGUGGCGAAGGCGGUCUGCUGGGCAGUUGCUGACACUGAGGCGCGACAGCGUGGGGAGCAAACAGG
rnacentral:rRNA from 1 species